rnacentral:rRNA from 1 species
UAAGACGAGGGGUCCUAGCGUUGUUCGGAAUCAUUGGGCGUAAAGCGUAUGUAGGUGGCCUUAUAAGUCAGGUGUGAAAGCCCCGGGCUCAACCCGGGAAGUGCAUUUGAUACUGUUUGGCUUGAGUACCGAAGAGGAUAGUGGAAUUCCAGGUGUAGUGGUGAAAUACGUAGAUAUCUGGAGGAACACCGGUGGCGAAGGCGGCUAUCUGGUCGAGUACUGACACUGAGAUACGAAAGCGUGGGGAUCAAACAGG